CUUGCCUCUUCCCUAGACUCUGCUACACUUUUCAAUAGCAACAGUCCAAGAUGAAUGACGGCAGACAAUGAGGGAACAUUAAAAAGAAAGGCAGCCAUGUGUGAGGUGCAGAAUUCAGAUUUGGACAUCAUGUUGUUAAAAGUUGCUGACAGAACUUGUUAAGAUGACCUUCCAGUCCCACUCUUCACCCCGCUGUGAGGAAACAACAAACCGGUCUUCCUUCGGAAGGUGUGGCUCGACGGUCCGUCUGGCAGACUAGAGAAGAAGAACAACACUGUGUACUUGUUAUCUACCUCCAGGCCACCCAAUCAGGGGCAUGAGCCUCAGACUGCAGGGCCGGUGCUCCGAUAAAGGAACU